CCGGGGCUGUCCUUCGAGCUCGGGGGACGGGGCCUCACGUGUUACAUCGUGCGCUGGGCAAGUGACGUGAAAAACAGAGCGUUUCCUCUUGCAGGGAAGGUGAACGAGUACAGAUCUUGCCUUCAGCAGCCUCACAGAUUCAGCUCCACACGUGAGAGCAGAUGAGCUAUAGCGGAAGAAAACCGCUUAGUAUAACCCAAGGCCUAUGUGUAUCCCAGUGCCAAGAAAUACAUGCUUUCAUGGCUGUCUCCUGA